rnacentral:lncRNA from 1 species
GAGGGGGCAUGACUGAUACUAAAUUGCUAAAACAUUACUACUGUAUUAGGACAUGACCACUAAAACAUAGAUUGUUGUCCUUCAUCCUUUGGGCAGAGUCGACUCCAUUUUUGGAGACAAUAAAGAAGGACAUGAAAAAAGAAAUGCCGCAUUGAGGAAAUUCAUAUAAUGUAGGCCAGUACUGCAAAAAAGAUUUAGAAGACAUCCUGAUAACUGAUAUAAGACACCGUAAGACAAAUGGUCCAGGUAGAUCUACAAUGCCAUUAAGACAUUUUGAGUCUAAUCCAUUGAUUAUCAGUUACUAAUUAUUCUUUUCAUCGCCAUCAUUAUUGUUCUUGUAUGGUCAAGCCAACCUGAUCCGACUAACUUGCUGGUUGGUUGAUGGUGGCUAGCAAGUUCGCUGCGUGGGGGGGGGGGGGGGGGGCGGGGCGGAGCCACUCACAUAUGUUGUGGCGUAUCAGUAGUAACAGGAGAUGAGACCAUGAGGCUAUUAUGGAUAGGCGAAAGAAGACAAGAAUUGGGAAAUAGUACAUUAUAUGAAAGAGAGGCAUCUAAGUCCACUCACGUCAAUCCAAUAGUAAAGAUGUUCUUCCUGCAAAGAGAAAUAUGCACAUACAUCUGUUUACACGAUUAAAGUUUUCAUCUGCAAUGUCCAUUGUUACAAGUGUCAUCUUUAGCCUAGCUAUGUCAUGGACUAAUCAAAAUAGAAAAGGAUGGGCAUGUUAACAAAACAAAAAAAUCGAUCCAGCCCUUUACAGUAAAUGCCCAAAAUGGAUCAUCACUAAAGAAUUUGAUCUGUUUGAGAAAGCAAAAGGUUUUAACAGAAAUUACAUUUCAAUUAUCAAUAUCAACCAACAUAUUUUUUUCAUGUUUUCGUUUGGUCACAACUUCAUUAGGAUGCAUUUGUAUAUGGUAACCAUGGAAAAAUGGAUCAGAGUAGAAUCAAACCUAGUACUGAUUUUAAGAUGAAGUUGUUGCUACUUGGGACAUGAAUGCCACACACACACACACAACAAAAAGGAUAUUAGUUGGUGACUGAAUAUCAACAUUAGGGCUACGCACAUGAGAAUUCCAUACUUACAAGAAACCUAAAGGUCAUCUUCUCCUCCUUAGGACAGGAGGAAGCAUGUCAAAAUUGGGGCAAGGGAGGGAUUCAAACCCAGGUCAUUGGAAUCCAACACCCGAUAACUUUACCAACUAAAUAGUUACUGGGGCGACAUGAAUACGAUCUCCAAGAAUCAUUUACAUUCUUUUCCUUUUUAUCUACUCUUUCUAAGUCCAAGGGAUCUUGGAGUUUGCUACCAAGCAGCAUGAGCUCCCAUCAUGUGACUAAUCUUUCCAACAGAUCUUCCAGGAUUCGUGGCAAGCCUCUCUUACCCAUUCAUAAAGGAUUAACAUCAGAUG